rnacentral:rRNA from 1 species
GACGGAGGGGGCUAGCGUUGUUCGGAAUUACUGGGCGUAAAGAGCACGUAGGCGGCGGUGCAAGUUGGGGGUGAAAUCCCGGGGCUCAACCCCGGAACUGCCUUUGAAACUGCAUAGCUAGAAUCUUGGAGAGGCGAGUGGAAUUCCGAGUGUAGAGGUGAAAUUCGUAGAUAUUCGGAAGAACACCAGUGGCGAAGGCGACUCGCUGGACAAGUAUUGACGCUGAGGUGCGAAAGCGUGGGGAGCAAACAGG